UACGUAGGGUGCAAGCGUUGUCCGGAAUUAUUGGGCGUAAAGAGCUCGUAGGCGGUCUGUCGCGUCGGCUGUGAAAACCCGGGGCUCAACCCCGGGCCUGCAGUCGAUACGGGCAGACUAGAGUGCGGUAGGGGAGACUGGAAUUCCUGGUGUAGCGGUGAAAUGCGCAGAUAUCAGGAGGAACACCGGUGGCGAAGGCGGCAUCCUGGACCGGCAUUGACGCUGAACAGUGAAAGCCAGGGGAGCAAACGGG
rnacentral:rRNA from 1 species